rnacentral:lncRNA from 1 species
GGACACAGUUAAGGAAACUAGAGCAGAGGGACAUUUUGUUUCUAUUCUUCAGCAUCUUCUGCUCAUUCGAAAUGAUCGUUUUAUAAGACAGCAGUACUUCAAGUUAAUUGACGAGUGCGUGUCACAGAUUGUAUUGCAUAGAGAUGGAAUAGACCCCGACUUCACAUACAGAAAAAGACUAGAUUUGGACUUAAGUCAGUUUGUAGAUGUUUGCAUAGAUCAGGCAAAACUAGAAGAGUGGGAAGAGAAAGCAUCAGAACAUUGCAAGAAAUUUGAAAAAGAGUGUACUGACCACCAAGAAACCCAGGCUCAAUUGCAGAAAAAAGAGGCAAAGAUUAAUGAGCUUCAAGCAGAGUUGCAAGCUUUUAAAUCCCAGUUUGGUGCCUUACCACCUGGUACAAAAAUUCCUUUGCAAACUUCGGCAAAAGGUGAACCUGGCCCUUCAGCCUUUCCUCCUGCCCCACCAGCACUGGGUGCAGGAGUGCCGCCUCCCCCACCACCCCCACCUCCACCACCUCCACCUCUUCCGGGAAUGGCAAUGCCAUUUGGUGGCCCAGUACCACCACCACCUCCCCUGGGAUUUCUUGGUGGGCAAAACUUUAUUCCAUUAAACCUGCCAUUUGGGUUGAAACCAAAGAAAGAAUUUAAACCUGAAAUCAGCAUGAGAAGAUUGAAUUGGUUAAAG